GGCAGUCUGAUGAGGUACAUUACCACUGUAUCACCAAGCACUGAGCAGGCUCCCUGAGGCUUCACAGUUGGCGGCAGCAGCACCAGGAGUCUGGCUGGUUGCCCGGCUCUAAAGCCGCUGACAGGCACUGCUUUAGGUCUGUGGCCUGGCACUGGAGACCUCUGAAGAGAAGAGCAGUCCUUAAGGAAGAAAUGCCAUUUCUAAACAAAGGGCUGAUAGUUCCCUAAAAAGCUCUUUCAGUCUUCAUCUCCCACCUACUGACAAGAGAAAGGCCUCUGGAGGGCCUGUGAGGAUACAAGGAAAGCCGGGCCCCAGGCCUUAGUGCCUGCCCUGCGGGAGCCUACAGUGUGGGCAGAACUAAGCAGAAGUCUGGAAUUCUCCUCCCAGCAAGUGGGUUCCCAGCCUCAGCCCACCUGCUCACCUCAGAGGGCCUCUGCUGCUGGCACAGGCCACCACAGUGAAGCCAUGCCUCCCAGAUCUCACAGAGAAUGUAAAAUGCAUUGGCCGCUGCAGCUAGGGUUCUGCCAUAGAGAAUUACCCACUUCCACCUCUAGUCUGACAUGGCUGAAGUACAUGGUUAGGGCAGAUGACUGAAAUUUUACACACAUGCCUACGUACACUCACCUUUUUAGGUUGUUUUCUUUUUCAAUACUUUGCAUAUUUAAAAAAUAAGGACUGUAUGGAAUUUCAAGCAUUCAGGCAAUAAAAGCGAGUAUUUAGUGACCACAAGUUGGCAUACUUAUGCUAAGUGCACGGACCAGUUGUGUUAUUUAAACGAAUGUGAACUGAAGCUGCAAGGGGGGUGAGGUAGCUCAGAAUCUUCACAGAGUAGACAUAGCACCUCCAUUUUAUAGAAGAAGAAGUAGUAGCCCAGCGAGCACAUGUACACAUGCAAUAGACAGACCAGUGUUGUUGGAUUUUGUUUUGUCGUUUUACUGUCCGUAUGCGUGUUUACCAGCAUGUAUGUCUCGGCACCAUGUGCAUGCAGUGCCCAGAAAGGCCAUAAGAGGGCGUCAGAUCUCCUGGAGCUGGAGUAACAUGCAGUUGUAAGCCACGGUAUGUGUGCUGGAAACCACUGGAAAAGCAGCCUGGGUCCUUAUCCACGGAGCCAUCCCUAGCCUUCAGGGAUUUCGAACGCACUUUGUCCAUGGGCACUGGAUUACAUUAAAAAUACAAACGGGAAUUGACACCUGAAGUGGUCUCCAGGCAUGUCCAGUGGUUUGGAUGUGCUCUGUGAGGCUGGAUGUCCGGUGUGGCUAUACAGAAGUGAGCUAAGGGACAUUUAACAUAAGAGAUGGAGCCUGGCGUAGAGUCUUCAGUUCCUUGGGGUUGCUGGUUUCUUGGGCAUUGUAAACCCUGAGCCUGACUCCUGAACCUCUCUGGCUUUUAGUUUUGUGAUGUGACUGAUUCUUACGUUAGCACCUUCUGCCUCCAGGUCCUCACCAAAGCCAACCCAACACCAGAGCCCUCUAGGAAUUGGACCCAAGCCAGCCUCUAAGCGUUGAAAGGUUUUCCAGCUGGGGUAUUUCGUUAUAGCAACAGAAAGGGAGUAAUUUCAGAAAGACGCAGAGCCACUGAGUGAUCUCACUUGGAGAUUUGUUUGACCCAAAAAUUACAAGACUGAUUAUAUCUACUGGAUCACUUAUAUUUAAGGGCAUAGAGGACAGAAGGAAUAUUGGGGUGGUUUUAUGUGUGUGUUUGUUUUGAAUCUCCAGGAAUAAAUAGAAUAUUAGAAGUAAAACAAGAAAAAUAGGCAAUAAUUGAGUAGAAAUAAUAACCAUAAACUUUUGCUUCUUAGACCAAUAUGAUAAAAAUUUCAGAAACUAUAUACUCUGGAAAUAUUUUUCAAAUCAGUAAACAUAGAAAAUACAGAUGGAAAAUAUUUAUAGAUUUGAGGAAAAAUCAUUCAUUUGACCACAAGACAAAAUUUCUUUUUUUUAAAGCCAUCUUCAAAAAUGGGGAGUCUUCCCUAUCUUGUGCCCCUCGCCCCCCUUUUUAGUGUGCUGAGAAGGUCCCCACCCCAAGAGUGUAGAAAUGACAUGGGCAAAGCACAGGCAUCCAUGCGUGAGAGGUUUGUGAUUGAGCCAGGAUUCGGCCUGGUUUGACUCCUGGAGCCAUGCUUUUCAGGACACCUCUGUAGAUGACCUGUCCUGGUCACUAGACUUCAGCAUAUUCGUAAGACGAUGAAUAUUGACAUGUCUCUAAAUAACCAGAGUUUUUAAUCGUCACUGUUACUGAUCGUGCCAAGUGCCUCUGAACAAGAACUGAGCAGAGAAGAUUCCAAACUGAUGCUCAGUGCUUGAAUAAAUCAUCAGCUCAGACCCAGCUUGCAUGGCUGGGAGCAGCACUGGGGUCUGUUGUUACCUGGGAGGCAUUUGUGCAAAUGCUGACCUUGGGUGGUGCUGUGCGAGACCCUAGUGCCUCCGAUGGACCCUGCCCAUGCCAUGCUGCUCUCUGCCCUGGGGAGCUCGCAAUCCAGCACGUAGGCCACAGUUAAAAUAAAGGGAAGCUGUGGAAAGCUUUCGAGGCCAGGAACAUUCAGGAGGAAGGUCUGUAGGAAAGUUCCCCUCCUCUGGGAGGUGUAAAUAGAUGCCUCUCUUCAACCUCUGAGUAGAGAUGCCAGAUAAAAUACAAGGCACCCAGUUCAAUUUGAAUUUCAGAUAGACAAGGAAUAAUUUUCAGUGUGUGUUCUGUGCAAUAUUUAGGGCAUACAUAUGCAAAAAAAUAUUAUUUGUUGUUUACAUAAAAUUCAAAUUUAGUGGGAAAUCCCAUUAGUUUCACUUACUAAUUCUAACACCCUGCAGACAUCACAUCGAGACUCUUGACUCGAGUGUCUUCAAAGCACUGAUGAAUAGGAAUGAAUGAUAAGUGGAGAGUGGAAGAGAGGGAGAGAAAGAGACAGAAAGAAAGAAUGAAAGCUGGAAAGCUGCCAAGUAAAAUAACUAGAUUCUGGAGAAGAAGAAGC
rnacentral:lncRNA from 1 species